rnacentral:rRNA from 1 species
UACGGGGGGUGCAAGCGUUGUUCGGAAUUAUUGGGCGUAAAGCGCGUGUAGGCGGUUUGUUAAGUCUGUUGUGAAAGCCCUGGGCUCAACCCAGGAAGUGCACUGGAUACUGGCAGACUUGAAUACGGGAGAGGGUAGUGGAAUUCCUGGUGUAGGAGUGAAAUCCGUAGAUAUCAGGAGGAACACCGGUGGCGAAGGCGGCUACCUGGACCGAUAUUGACGCUGAGACGCGAAAGCGUGGGUAGCAAACAGG